AUAGCCUGAAAACCCAUAAAAAACUAUGGAUGCCGGCCAUGGAAGCCUUCAACUUCACACACAACAACUAUGUUCUGACUGUGUGAUUUUAACACCAAGUGAUAGUGCAUCCUGAUCCCAUGAAGCACAUGUGAAGAAGCUUUAGAUUGCACGGCCUUCCCAGCUGUUUUCAGGAGGAACUGUGAUGCCAUGUGCACAAACAUAACAGAGGAAGCUGGAUACAAACAUGGGGGUUUCUUCUUGAGGAUAUAAAGUUGUCUUUCGCGUGUUCUAGAGGUGCCACCAGAAAACCUGAUCAAGUCAAUCUGCGCUGUUCCGGUGUCAAAAAAGGGACCAGAAGCUGAUUUCCAGCUCUUUUUGAGCUCCGUGAAAGAUGCCAACUCUAUGGAUAAUUCAAGGGGAGACAUUCAGCUCCAAGCCCAGAAUCUGGCAAAG